rnacentral:rRNA from 1 species
CCUACGGGAGGCUGCAGUGGGGGAUAUUGGACAAUGGGGGGAACCCUGAUCCAGCGACGCCGCGUGAGUGAAGAAGUAUCUCGGUAUGUAAAGCUCUAUCAGCAGGGAAGAAGAAAUGACGGUACCUGAGUAAGAAGCCCCGGCUAACUACGUGCCAGCAGCCGCGGUAAUACGUAGGGGGCAAGCGUUAUCCGGAAUUACUGGGUGUAAAGGGAGCGUAGGCGGUGAUGUAAGUCUGGAGUGAAAGGCGGGGGCUCAACCACCGGACUGCUCUGGAAACUAGUUGACUGGAGUGCAGGAGAGGUGAGCGGAAUGCGUAGUGUAGCGGUGAAAUGCGUAGAUAUCAGGAGGAACACCAGUGGCGAAGGCGGCUUACUGGACUGUAACUGACGUUGAGGCUCGAAAGCGUGGGGAGCAAACAGGAUUAGAUACCCGUGUAGUC